rnacentral:rRNA from 1 species
AGUGAACGCUGGCGGUAGGCCUAACGCAUGCAAGUCGAACGGCAGCACAGUAAGAGCUUGCUCUUACGGGUGGCGAGUGGCGGACGGGUGAGGAAUACAUCGGAAUCUACUUUUUCGUGGGGGAUAACGUAGGGAAACUUACGCUAAUACCGCAUACGACCUACGGGUGAAAGCAGGGGAUCUUCGGACCUUGCGCGAUUGAAUGAGCCGAUGUCGGAUUAGCUACUUGGCGGGGUAAAGGCCCACCAAGGCGACGAUCCGUAGCUGGUCUGAGAGGAUGAUCAGCCACACUGGAACUGAGACACGGUCCAGACUCCUACGGGAGGCAGCAGUGGGGAAUAUUGGACAAUGGGCGCAAGCCUGAUCCAGCCAUACCGCGUGGGUGAAGAAGGCCUUCGGGUUGUAAAGCCCUUUUGUUGGGAAAGAAAAGCAGCAGGUUAAUACCCCGCUGUUCUGACGGUACCCAAAGAAUAAGCACCGGCUAACUUCGUG